GCAAGAAAAUAUGCGGAGCUAGUCUGCUGCGCUUUUUUAGUGGAAAUGUUCCCAGCUUCACUUCGCUUGAGACGAAAGGCACAGGUUUCGCAACAAAAUGUGAAAAUCUAUUCGCUUGUAUUCAGUAUUUUAGCAUGUGAUUGGCAGCUGCAGAAAAAGUCUUAUGGCCGAUUAUUUGCCGAUUAUCAGGCAAUAAUCGGCCGAUUACGGAUUAUUUAAAAAACGGCCGAUUAAUCGGCCGAUUAUUUACCGAUUAAUCGGCUCAUCCACUAUUUGACUAUUUGCCACUGAUUACAGAAGAUAAAUAAUUAAUGAAAUAAUUGUACUCCUCUCAACCAAUCAGCAUCCAGUAAUUUUGUCGUGCUAAUAAUAAUGACUGUAAUACGACAAUCCCGAAAUAAUUUUGUAAUCCAUUUCCUAAUGUUAGGUUGGGAUGAUGAAGAGGGCUUGCUUGCAGCGGUUCUGGCCGAGUCACAGAAAGAAUAUUUAGACAGUUUAAAACGAAACAUGAAAGACCAUCAUGACAGCAGUAACAAAGGGCCCUCACCCAAGAACUGAUGUAACGCAACAAGGCCUAGAACUUAAUCUGUUCUGGCCAAGAUUGCCGAGUCGGGCACUGCUUGCUAGGCCUGCGAAAUUGAACCGCGUAAAAGCAAUGAUUUUGGCCGAUAAUGGUUUUAAUUCAUCUUGCGUUGUAAAUUGAACUGACCGGGUAAAAUUCUCUGUCGGGGUAAAAUUGCAGUUGGACUGAAGAUCUAAAAUAUGCAUAUCAAAUGAUCAUUUAUUUGUGUUUUGCGUAUAGUUAUUUUGCUGGUCUAAAAAUUGCUCAAAGGAUAGUUAUAUAUAUUGCAAAGUGCUCAACUCUUCAAUGGUGUAUUGAUGUUUCACAUGCAUAUUUUAAAUCCUCCGUCCUACGUGCUAUUAUUGUACAACUGCAACGUAUAUCGACGCAGAACGAUUUGCAUGCCGUGCAGUUCACCCAUAAUUAUAAUGGAGGGUUCUGUAAGCGACUGAGCCCGCGAUAUGAUUACGUCACAAAAUUAGGUCAGCGGUCACGUUCACCAAAACCUCGUCUUGGGACUCGUUUCAGUCCCUCGGCGAAAACGCGGUGCGCAAAGCGCAGAGUUUCGAGACGGCCUAGCCGGUGCUUGCGAAUUGAGAGUACGUAUAUAUGAACAGUAUAUAUGUGAUUUGUACUCAAUGACAAUGUGUAUAACAUUUGUGCUUUAAAUUUGUAUCUCGUGUAGAUAGCUAAUAGCAAUAUGAAAUUGUGUAUAAAGAUAUAUUGAUGACAAUAUUAAUCGUAUGUAGUUUUAGUUGGGUUCGUUUGUAAUCAUUUCAAUUGGAGUGGGUAGAAAUAUUUAAGAAACGUUUCUGAGAGUG